CAAUAGCGUAGGUGCUGUCUUUCUCUCUCAAAUAAAUCCCUUUUCUGCAAAACUCUGGGUCCACGAUAUUUAUUCCAAUGGCAACCUCUCCUCGCCUCUGGGACCCCUUUCCCCAUUCUGCGGAGUUAGCGAGACUAAGAACCUCUUUGGAACGGCUAUUGGUUUCACCCUUCUAAUAUCCUGUUUGAAGAAGAAAUGGGAGCACAGAGAACUUGGGUCAACAUGAGAGCUGUCACAGAAUCUACAUAGACUGAGAAGAGAACAGAGGAUGGGGCAAAGAAGGUCCCAGUGAUGAGGAGAUAACUAGGGGAAUUACUGAAAAAAAGAAAGAAGAGAGUAAUAAUCUCAGGAACCAGAAAUUGGUGUGAAAGUCAAAACAUCCACUGAUUCAGUAAGUAAUUUUGUAUGAAGGUCAAAACGUUAUUUAUCUGAAUUGCUAGAUAGCUAUAUAAAUUUUACACCAGUAUUUGGAGACAAAUGAAUUAAAAGCAAUGAAUUUAACUACACGGUAUGAUUUGGGGUGACAAUUCAGUAUAACAGUUGUUAAUGUUCCGUAUCCUAUGUCUUCAAAAAUAAUUUUUGAUAUAUUUAAUUUGCAAAGAUAAGUAAAUAUACAACAAAGUACAAAUUAAAGUUACUUUGCUCUUUAUUAACUUUGCAUUUAUAUAUUAGACAAGCUAACCUUGCCAAAUAUUAAGUGUAUAUGUAUGUGUUUAAUAGGAACAAUGUUUAUGAACAAGCCCACUAAAACAGCUCAUUUUGGUUGUAAAACAAAUAUGAAAUAAUGCUCUCAGUGACUCUGCUUCGAGUGUGAAUAGUUACAUGCCUGUGGUUUGCGGAGACAGUAAAAGAUGUUUUAUGUUGGGUCUGUUUAUACUGAAGAUUUGCUAGUUCUUGGGCAAGUAUAAGGAGACACAUUAAUCUGAAUAUUCUAUCCUUCAUAAAGCCAUUUAGGCUAUUUAUAAGCUCUCUUUCCUAGUGGGAAAUAGCAGAUUAUUCUAUUCAGUAUUUUUCCAGUAAAACUGACCUAUUUAAAAUUUUCCCAAUAAGUCCUUUUCCCUCCUGCUGUAAGGUUUCUUUGCUAAAUUGAACUGGAUUUAUUUGUGGAAGCCAUAAUGUUAGCAUUCAGCUUAAUAGUCAUAAAUGAUUUUAUUGAGUUUGGAUAGGAACUUUAUUAAGUUUAAAAUAUGCUUGAAAACAUUCCUGUUGUAUUUGAAUGAAUCCACACAUUCUCCACAUACUUAAAUUUCCAUCCCCUUUAGUAUAAUUUUUAAAUGCUUCUGAAAUUAGGAAGUUAGAUCUUGCUGUUAAGAAAAGGUUGACUGAAAAGGUAUUGUGUUCAUUUCAAAUCCUGAUGAAUGGCAGGGGAUUAUAAGUCGGUGUGAAUUUUAGUGUCUGAACAGAUCAUCAAGAAACAGCUUACUCACAGACUUAGUGUAUGAAGGCCAAAAUGUUAUUUAUGUGACAUGAAUAUAUCUCUAGUCUAUAGACAGACUAGAGAUAUUGAAAUAGUAAUAAAUGUAGUUAUUUUACCUAUAAUGGCAGUUCUGGAGAGUUCAAGGCAAAGAUAGGAAAAUUAUUUUAAAAGUAGUAACAACUAUGUUAGAAUGGUAACUCUUAUACAUGCUUUUAGUUUGAUAGCUAUACAAGAAGAAAUCUAAAAGCACAUCAGACAAAGGUAGACUUUGCCUGGUUUUUGGUGCCUCACAUUCAUUUGGCCUUUUAAACAGCACUCUCACUUUUCCCCCAUGAGUUGACCACUUCAUCAUCAUUGAUUGUUGGGAUAAAACAAGUAUUUCCCUUUCCCUGGCUACAGCGUGUACAAAUAGCACUGGCUAUAUCCUUUUUUCUUCUGUUCUGAGAUUUGAAUCAAGAUCCAAGAAACAAAGAGCCUGAAGUAGUUUGAUAUCCUUUUUUGAUGUUGUUAAGUUUUUUCAGUUCAUGUUUAGUUCAGGGGCCUCUUUGAGCUUGGGAGGAUGAAGAUUAUACCCCUUCUUCCCAUUUCUGGAGGCACAGAACUCUCCCCAGCCUUUGGGGCUCCCUUUAUUGAUAACUAGAAUUGGCUGGAAUCAGCCAAUGAAAUGCUGUAAGGAAUAUUCUUAUCUAGAUCAAUUAUUUUACUAAAUAGGGAUUUUAAGGAUAUUGAAUAGCCCUACAAAGCCAGCACAGACUGAUGGUAGGGAGGUCAUACUGACAGAGUAGCCCUGAAGAGUCUGCUAUUGACUAGUACAUAGACUAAAUCCUUAGUCAAAUAUUUGUGCACCUAUUAUAUGGUGCUGAAAGAUACAUAAUAAACAAAACAGGAUUCUCAUCUUUCAGUAAUUUUAUCUAAAUUUUAAAGACAAUAUCCACAAACAUGAGCACAUUUGAAAACCAUAAGGUAGUUUAUGAAUAAGCAUCUAAAAAACUGUUACUAUUGUAUAGAUGAAGUCCACCAUACAUUUGCGUACAAACAUUUGUCACCUGGUUAACUUUAGAUGUCUCACAAAAGCUUCAUACAUUUUAUUUUAAUCUUGAAACAAUAUUUUAGUUUAUAAAUGACAAAAGUAGUGAGGACAGAAUCUAUCAAGCUUAUUUUUUUCAUAUUUUCAAUUUCUGGAAUUCUGACAAUGAGAAAAGAAAACAAUUUUGGCUCAUAGUAGCAGCAGUGGAAAUCAUAAAAAAUAAUAUUAAAAAUAGUAGCUAACAACUGUUGGUAUUUACAGCAUUGUUCUUAGACAGUGCCUGAAAGAAAGCACACGUUAAAUAAAUAUGGUCUCUGAGGUUCUAUUUAUGUUGUUCAAUCCUGAGAACAAUAUUGUGAGGUAGAUACCAUAAUUCUUCACAUUGAAGUCCAGCAAAUUUAGAGGUUUUAAAAGAUGAUUCAGUUAGUAAGUUAAUAAGUACUUCUAGAAUUCAUACCUAGGCUUUUCUGAAUCCAGAAUGUGUACUUUUAUUAUUGUGCUAUUAUGUGCUUCACGUAUAUGGGAUCCAAAAAGAAACUUGAAAGAUGAAUAACAUUUAGGAAAACGGGACAAUAAGACUUUACAGAGAUGUUAAUCUCUACAUGAUUUCCCACUGGCUGGCCCUUAAAAAGUAUUCAAUUAAUGUGUACUGAAUUAAAUUAAUGCAUAGCUUCACAUCAAAAUAUGGCAUGUGUUGGGUUCAACUCAAUAGUGUCAUAUGGAAAAAGAAGUUGUAGAAACUUCAGAAAUGGGAUUUUACAAUAUUUUUUAUCAAAUGUUCUAGGUAAUACUAAAGUUCGUGAAGAUUUUGUGUUUUUCAUGCUUUUUUUUUCCCCUGUUCUCCAUUUUUUUUUGUGCACAUAACCUUUUGAAAUCAAGCAAAACCAUGUGAUUUGCUUCAAUGAAUUGGAUGUUUGUAAACUCCUGGGAAGAAGUGUUUAAGUGCUGGUGGUCAUUUUUUCACGUUAUCUUCCUGUGCCACCACCAUCUGGGCACCAUGAGUUCAAAUAGAGAUGCCAUAAGCUUGAAAUAGAUUUUAAUGGUGAAUAUUCAUUUAGAGCACAAAAGCCCUGAAGAGUUGCCUGGACCUAAUGCAGAAUUCAUAUGCAUGAGAAGUAAAGUUUUAUUUUGCUAAACUACUGAGACGUUAGCAUUGUUUCUUACCCUAGCAUGAUUAGAUUCUCCCAUUUAAUGUAAUAUACUAGAAUGUAGUUUUAGAAAAUCCUUAAAGAAUGCUUGCACAUGGCCUUAUACAUAUUUUUUAAUGACAAAUGCUAACCCACUUAUUCACACAGAUUAAAAUGAAAUAGCUUUUGAUACCAGUUAUUUCUAUUCUGUUCUCUUGGAUUUUUUGUUUUAUAGGGAGUGUUCUGCAUAUUGCCAUGGUGCCUGACUCUUUUUUUGCUAAUCAGCUAUGAAAAUGUACUCCUGAUAAAGCAAGAGGAACUUGCUUUGGGAUUUUUUUUUUGCAAUUGGUUUGCUUGGUAGAUUAACACAAGUGUGUAAUGUAUUGUAUGAAGUACUUUUCAAACUUUGAGAAGGGGGAUAGAUCUUUUUCUUAUAUAUCCUUAGUUUUAUGCAUUUUAAAAAUGAAUAAUGAAUAUUAUUGUAAAAUAAGGCUACAGCUUCCCAAUUCUCCUUAACUUUCUGGAAGCAUUGAAACACUCCAUUUUAGAACACCACGAAUUUCUACCAUUAAAAUGUGAAAUUUCUCUUCUUCAAGAAGUGUAUUAAGGUAGAGUAGGAGAUGAACAUUGUCUUUUUUCUUCCUUUCUGAGACAAUCAGGAUUUUGUCAACAAAAUGUUUUGCUCAGUCCCAGGAGAGUAAUCAUGAUAGAUUAAAGCCAGUCAUCUCCAUCUCACUUCCCUAUUAAGGCACUUGCAUUCCCAACUGCCCUGUGCUAAUACAGGACACCUUUUAAGAAACUAGAUGCAAAUAAGAAAAAUAUUUUGAUUUCAAAUAAAAGAUUCUGGAGAAUGAGAAAAGCUAGCUUAUGCUAUUCCUGUGCAACAGCCAUCCAACAAUAUGCUAAGAAGUCUCAUCAGAUCCAAAAGCCAGUGCCAUUAGGGUAGUGGAGCAUAAGGGAAAAGCUGGUGAAAGCAAUGAACUGAUGGACCACAAGACCAAAGGUUUAACUGUAUAUCUUGAAGUUUUCGAUGUAUGACAUCAUUAGUGAUUUUUUGCUUUAGCCAGUUCGUGAAUUUUUAAUUACUUGCAUGAGAAAUGUGUUCUGUCUCACAGAACUAGACUCUGAGCUUCUAGUCACAGAGGAGGGCUGAAACUACUCUUGUUCUAUCACUGAUGCUCAGUAUGGUGCCUGACACAUGGUUGAUGUUGAUGCUCAUUAAAUAUUUGUUGUAUGAGGGGUUUACAAAUGAGUGUUUGCUUCAUAUUUUGUUAUUUUUAUGUAAUUCAUAUGUUUUGUUAAUAUUAGUGCAUGUAUGAACAAUUUAUAUGCCCAAGUCCCCCUGUUAUUUUCCUCCCUACUUAGGAAAACAUUUUUUUAAAUGUACUUUAAGUUCUGGGAUACAUGUGCAGAAUGUGCAGGUUUGUUACAUAGUUACAUAUGUGUCAUGCUGGUUUGCUGUAUCCAUCACCCCGUCAUCUACAUUAGCUAUUUCUCCUAAUACUAUCCCUCCCCCAGCCCCCAUGCCCAAACAGGCCCUGAUGUGCGACAUUCCCCUCCCUGUGUCCAUGUGUUCUCAUUGUUCA